UUAUUGUGAUGUUCCAGCUUCUGCGGAUCCUGCCGUUGAUCAGGAAGCGUGGACUCGCAUUUCAAGGACUUCAGCUCGAUCUGCACCGUGCUUAACUGCAACAAAUAAAAAGACGGUCCUUGAUUACGUGGUAUGCGUGACUACGCGUGUGUGAUACACAUGCGCUUGUGGAAUGCGUGAGAGUAGGGCCACAGCUGUCGACUCGUGCGGCUGCAAUCGCCAUGCGUGUGUCAAAUACCACAGACGGUAUAUUCGCACCUGUGAAGGUCCCGCGCUGCAACCGCAACAUCUGUAUGUCGGUGUCGUGCUUGUGCCCACUGAAGGCCUCGAUGCGCUGGCGCAACGAUAACAACUGGCU
rnacentral:lncRNA from 13 species